rnacentral:rRNA from 1 species
UACGAAGGGGGGCUAGCGUUGCUCGGAAUCACUGGGCGUAAAGCGCACGUAGGCGGCUUUCUAAGUCAGGGGUGAAAUCCUGGAGCUCAACUCCAGAACUGCCUUUGAUACUGGAGAGCUCGAGUCCGGAAGAGGUGAGUGGGAACUCCGAGUGUAGAGGUGAAAUUCGUAGAUAUCGAGAAGAACAUCGGUGGCGAAGGCGCUCUGGCUGGACCAUAACUGACACUCAGGGACGAAAGCUAGGGGAGCGAAUGGG